rnacentral:rRNA from 1 species
GCGGACUUGAAGAGAAGCUUGCUUCUCUGAUGGUUAGCGGCGGACGGGUGAGUAACACGUAGGCAACCUGCCCUCAAGUUUGGGACAACUACCGGAAACGGUAGCUAAUACCGAAUAAUUGUUUUCUUCGCCUGAAGAAAACUGGAAAGACGGAGCAAUCUGUCACUUGGGGAUGGGCCUGCGGCGCAUUAGCUAGUUGGUGAGGUAACGGCUCACCAAGGCGACGAUGCGUAGCCGACCUGAGAGGGUGAUCGGCCACACUGGGACUGAGACACGGCCCAGACUCCUACGGGAGGCAGCAGUAGGGAAUCUUCCGCAAUGGGCGAAAGCCUGACGGAGCAAUGCCGCGUGAGUGAUGAAGGUUUUCGGAUCGUAAAGCUCUGUUGCCAGGGAAGAACGCUUGGGAGAGUAACUGCUCUCAAGGUGACGGUACCUGAGAAGAAAGCCCCGGCUAACUACGUGCCAGCAGCCGCGGUAAUACGUAGGGGGCAAGCGUUGUCCGGAAUUAUUGGGCGUAAAGCGCGCGCAG